rnacentral:misc_RNA from 1 species
GAGAUCGAACGUUAAAAAGCUGUCCUCGCUGAGGAGAGACAUCUGUGAGCUCCAGCGAACCUUUGUCACCAAAGGUUACCUGGUGGAAAACCGCGAGCGUAGAUAGUUAUCACACUCGUGAUGCCACCAAACACUGGGAGGCUGAUUCAUUUGAGAGGAGCCGACCACAGGCCAGCAAAACCCCCAAGGUCCAAGCUCAUCACGGCAAACCAUGAGAGUUGAGGUGUUCAUGAUACUCAAACAGGCAUGCCCCUCGGAAUAUCCAAGGGGCGCAAGGUGCGUUCAAAGAUUCGAUGAUUCACUGAAUUCUGCAAUUCACAUUACUUAUCGCAUUUCGCUGCGUUCUUCAUCGAUGCGAGAGCCAAGAGAUCCGUUGCUGAAAGUUGUAUUGUGUUGCGUUAGACGCGGCAUACAUUCCAUAAGACUUUAUCACAGUGUGUGUGUGUAAAGACGUAGAACUACGGAAGGAAGACAGGGUCCCCCAGACCGUAAAACUACAGAGGGUGCACAGGUGUGAGUGGAUGUGUAAACAGAGCGUGCACAUGUCCCCGUUCGAGGACCAGCAACAGCCCGUUUGACAAUUCAGUAAUGAUCCUUCC